GAUUAAGUUAUUAAGGGCGCACGGUGGAUGCCUUGGCACUAGAAGCCGAUGAAGGACGUUACUAACGACGAUAUGCUUUGGGGAGCUGUAAGUAAGCUUUGAUCCAGAGAUUUCCGAAUGGGGAAACCCAGCAUGAGUUAUGUCAUGUUAUCGAUAUGUGAAUACAUAGCAUAUCAGAAGGCACACCCGGAGAACUGAAACAUCUUAGUACCCGGAGGAAGAGAAAGAAAAUUCGAUUCCCUUAGUAGCGGCGAGCGAAACGGGAAGAGCCCAAACCAACAAGCUUGCUUGUUGGGGUUGUAGGACACUCUAUACGGAGUUACAAAGGACGACAUUAGACGAAUCAUCUGGAAAGAUGAAUCAAAGAAGGUAAUAAUCCUGUAGUCGAAAAUGUUGUCUCUCUUGAGUGGAUCCUGAGUACGACGGAGCACGUGAAAUUCCGUCGGAAUCUGGGAGGACCAUCUCCUAAGGCUAAAUACUCUCUAGUGACCGAUAGUGAACCAGUACCGUGAGGGAAAGGUGAAAAGCACCCCGGAAGGGGAGUGAAAUAGAACCUGAAACCGUGUGCUUACAAGUAGUCAGAGCCCGUUAAUGGGUGAUGGCGUGCCUUUUGUAGAAUGAACCGGCGAGUUACGAUUUGAUGCAAGGUUAAGCAGUAAAUGUGGAGCCGUAGCGAAAGCGAGUCUGAAUAGGGCGUUUAGUAUUUGGUCGUAGACCCGAAACCAGGUGAUCUACCCUUGGUCAGGUUGAAGUUCAGGUAACACUGAAUGGAGGACCGAACCGACUUACGUUGAAAAGUGAGCGGAUGAACUGAGGGUAGCGGAGAAAUUCCAAUCGAACCUGGAGAUAGCUGGUUCUCUCCGAAAUAGCUUUAGGGCUAGCCUCAAGUGAUGAUUAUUGGAGGUAGAGCACUGUUUGGACGAGGGGCCCCUCUCGGGUUACCGAAUUCAGACAAACUCCGAAUGCCAAUUAAUUUAACUUGGGAGUCAGAACAUGGGUGAUAAGGUCCGUGUUCGAAAGGGAAACAGCCCAGACCACCAGCUAAGGUCCCAAAAUAUAUGUUAAGUGGAAAAGGAUGUGGCGUUGCCCAGACAACUAGGAUGUUGGCUUAGAAGCAGCCAUCAUUUAAAGAGUGCGUAAUAGCUCACUAGUCGAGUGACACUGCGCCGAAAAUGUACCGGGGCUAAACAUAUUACCGAAGCUGUGGAUUGUCCUUUGGACAAUGGUAGGAGAGCGUUCUAAGGGCGUUGAAGCAUGAUCGUAAGGACAUGUGGAGCGCUUAGAAGUGAGAAUGCCGGUGUGAGUAGCGAAAGACGGGUGAGAAUCCCGUCCACCGAUUGACUAAGGUUUCCAGAGGAAGGCUCGUCCGCUCUGGGUUAGUCGGGUCCUAAGCUGAGGCCGACAGGCGUAGGCGAUGGAUAACAGGUUGAUAUUCCUGUACCACCUAUAAUCGUUUUAAUCGAUGGGGGGACGCAGUAGGAUAGGCGAAGCGUGCGAUUGGAUUGCACGUCUAAGCAGUAAGGCUGAGUAUUAGGCAAAUCCGGUACUCGUUAAGGCUGAGCUGUGAUGGGGAGAAGACAUUGUGUCUUCGAGUCGUUGAUUUCACACUGCCGAGAAAAGCCUCUAGAUAGAAAAUAGGUGCCCGUACCGCAAACCGACACAGGUAGUCAAGAUGAGAAUUCUAAGGUGAGCGAGCGAACUCUCGUUAAGGAACUCGGCAAAAUGACCCCGUAACUUCGGGAGAAG
rnacentral:rRNA from 1 species